rnacentral:rRNA from 1 species
UUUUUGCAUAAUCCCAAAAGCGGAGGAAAAGAAACCAACAGGGAUUGCCUCAGUAACGGCGAGUGAAGCGGCAACAGCUCAAAUUUGAAAUCUGGCCUCUCGGGGUCCGAGUUGUAAUUUGUAGAGGAUGUUUUGGGUACCGCCCCGGUUUAAAUUUCUUGGAACAGAAUGUCAGAGAGGGUGAGAAUCCCGUCUUGGACCGGUGGUAGGGCCUGUGUAAAACUCCUUCGACGAGUCGAGUUGUUUGGGAAUGCAGCUCAAAAUGGGUGGUAAAUUUCAUCUAAAGCUAAAUAUUGGCCAGAGACCGAUAGCGCACAAGUAGAGUGAUCGAAAGAUGAAAAGAACUUUGAAAAGAGAGUUAAACAGUAUGUGAAAUUGUUGAAAGGGAAGCGCUUGCAACCAGACUUGAGCGCGACGGUUCCCCUAGCCUUUUGGCUAGGUUACUCCGUCGUGUCCAGGCCAACAUCGGUUCUGAGGGUCGGUCAAAGGCCCCGGGAAUGUACCUACCCACGGGUAGACUUAUAGACCGGGGUGUCAUGCGGCCUCUCGGGACCGAGGAACGCGCUUCGGCUCGGAUGUUGGCGUAAUGGUUGUCAGCGACCCGUCUUGAACCCCGGGGACCAAA